AAGACUAUACUUUCAGGGAUUUCUAUAGUAUGUGACUAGAAAAGUUUCUCUGAUCGUGUAAAGCACUUGAAGCCAUGAGGAGGAGCCAGAGCGUUCUCUCCUGAGCAUGAAACUGGCUUUAGGUGUCGCUUCUGUGACUGCCUUUGGUCACUGAUGAUCAUUCUCCCUUUCCUCUGCAAAAUACAGUAGAAGGAGAGGAUGCAGUCUGAGUGCU